GGGUUGCUGGCGCAGUGGUUAGCGCAUCCGACUUCCGUCGAACGGGCAAUCCUCAGUUUUGGGCUGGGGAUUUCCCGUUCGGUGUUCAGGAGGUUGUGGGUCCGAGUCCCACGCGGCUCA